rnacentral:lncRNA from 1 species
AUAAAAGACAGGUUUUUUAUAAUAGCUUCUGAAAAAUUAAAGAGUAAGAUAUGUAUUCUUUUUUGUCUGGUUUCUUUCGAAUAUCAUUAUGCUUGUUUGAGGUAACUCGUUGGUUCAUUCAUUUCUGUUGCUAUUAAAGUUUUCAUUUUUAAUGUUUUAUAUGUAUUCCUUUUGUUGUCAAUAGGUGUAUGAGAUACUUCUAUUCCUUUUGAUUACCAAAGAUACUGCUGGUAACUUUUUGUCCCUAUCUCUCAGUAGGUGUUUGCUUAUAUUUCUGAGAAGUAUGUAAUCUAAGAGUGAAAUUUCUGAGAAGGCAUGUAUAUUUUAAAGGAUAUCUAAUUUAGAAGAUAAUGACAAUUUGUUUUCCAAAUUUCUUGUACCAAUUUACAUUCCCACAAGCAACAUAUGAGCAUCCCUGUUGCUCUACACCAGAAAUCUGCAAACUAUGGCUUGCUGACCUAGUCUGUCCUGCCACUGGUAUUUAAAAUAAGGUUUUUUUAGAACACAGAUCAAUGCCCAUUUAUUUUCUGUGGCUGUUUUUGUGGUACAAGAGCACAGCUGAGCACUUUCUUUUUAACUUAAAUAUAGUUGAUUUACAACAUUGUGUUAAUUUCAGUGUACAACAAAGUUAUUUCAUUUUAUACAUAUACAUAUGUAUUCUUUUUUAGAGUAUGUUCCAUCAUAGGUUAUUAUAAAGUAUUUAUUGAGUAGAGUUCCCUGUACCAUACAGUAGAUUCUUGUUGUUUAUCUAUUUUUAUAUAAUAGUGUGUAUUUGUUAAUCUGAAACUCCUAAUUUACCCCUCCUUCUCCCUUCCCCCUUGGUAACUGUAAGUAUGUUUUCUAUGUCUGUGAGUUUAUUUCUGUUUUAUAAACAUUGUAUCAUGUUUUUAGAAUCCAUGUGUAAGUGAUAUUAUAUGAUGUCUAACUUAGUAUGAUAAUCUCUGGGUCCAUCUAUUUCCCUGUAAAUGACAUUAUUUCAUUCUGUUUGAUAGCUGAAUAAUAUCCAUUGUGUGUGUGUUGGGGACAGGUGUAUACCACAUCUUUUUUAUCCAUUCAUCUGUCUAUGGACAUUUAGAUUGCUUCCAUGACUUGACUAUUGUAAAUAAUUCUGCCAUGAACACUGGAGUGUAGUAUAUUUUCAAAUUAGAGCUUUUCAGUCUGCCAUUUCUGAGAGAGAUGCAGACAUUUCUUUUGAUUUAUUUGCAUUUUCCCCAUUUCUGGUGAUUCUGAACACUUUUCCAUAUCUUUCUUGGUCAUUUGGAUAUCUUCAUUUUGUGAAGUCUUGAUCAUUUUUCUAUUGUUUUUGUCAUUUUCUCUUUGAGUUCUUCAUAAAAUCUGAUUAUGAGCCCCUUGCCAUUUAGACAGCUACUACUUUCUCUGUCUCUGUGGUUUGCUUACUCACUCUCCUGAUGAUGUUUUCAAUGAACAGAAUUUCUUAUAUUUUAAAGUAGUCAAAUCGAAAAGUUUUUACUUUCAGUUAGAACAUUUUGUGUCCUAUUUAAGAAGUUGUUCUUUAUCCCAAAUAAUACGUAUUCUUUGACAUUACUUCCUAGACUAUUAGUUCUUAACUGAAGGCAAUUUUGCACCAACGGACAUUUGUCAAUGUCUAAAGACAUUUUUGGUUGUCACAAUUGAGGGCGUGCUAUUGGCAUACAGUGUGGAGAAGACAGGGAUGCUGCCAGACACAGCAUAAUGCACAAGACAGCUUCCCAAACAAAGAAUUAUCUGGUCCAAAUGCCAAAAAUGCUUCUGUUUAAGAAACCGAAUCCUAAAAGAGGUAUUCACUUACCUUCACAUUAUCUAUAAUCUAAUGAGGAAUUGAUUUUAUGAAUGGUGUGAAAUAGGAUUCAAUUUCCCUUUUUUUCCAUAUGCAUUUCUGAUUGUCCCAGAACCAUUUACUAAAGUGACUGUUGUUUCCUGUCACUUCUACUUUGUGAUUAGUCAAGCAUUCAUGUAUACAAAGUUCCCUGGGAUUUCCAUGCAAUGUCAACAGCCUACUUGACUGUCUUUGUCUAUCCUUGUAUCAAAACUUCCUCUCUUAAAUGUUAUAGCUUUAUUUAAGGUCACAAUAUAAGUAGCAUAUUUACUUUCAAUACAUUCUUUCAAGAAGUUAUAUGAUUUAUUUCCAUUUUAAUACUUUCUGUUGGGUAGCCUACAUAUUGUAUUUUCAUAUUUUUGCAGGUGUUUCACAUUUUGAUGCUAUUAUAAAUGUUGUCUCUUUUAAAAUUUUGUUUCCUAGUUUAUUUCUACUGUAGGUAUGUGUAUUUGAAUUUGUGCAUGACUUGACCUUAAAUCCAGCAACAUUUCUACAUCCACUUGCUCUUUUUAAUAAUUUGUAUAUAGAUCAUGUUGGCUAUUAUACAUUCACAGUGAUGUUAUGUUUGAACAAAAACACUGGUCUCUCCAUCUCUCUUCCUCCCUGCCCAAAUCGAAUACCUUUUAUUUCCUAUAUCCCCCUUUCUUCACUACUUAGAAGUCAUUUUACAAAAUUAUUUUAGUAUAGUCAACUGUGUUUAGUCAGCAUACACUUUGUUAAAAGUAUUGCCUUAGACAGUUAUUAUAGAAGUGAAUUUUCCUAACCAUAUAUUUUUAUCAACAAUUAUUUAAUGAAUAUCCACUAUGUGCUAAGAAUUCCCCUAGGCACCAGCUAAGCCACAGUGAGUAAGACAUGAUCCUAGGACUCGAGGAGUUUACACUAUGGUGGGAGGAAGUAGACUACAAACAAGUAACUGGGGAAAAUAAAUUGCUUCAUUCUGGGUAUAUUCUUCUGCCUUAGCUUUUAGUUUACUAAUUUUUAUUUCCAUUGUGUAUAAUCUACUGUUAAAUAUAUCCUUUGAAUUCUUAAUUUAGGUAACUAUAACUGUAAUUUUCAGUUCUAGUAUUUCAGUUUGGUUCUUUUGAAGUCUACUUUGUCCUUUCUUUUAUAGCUUCUGUUCCUUUGCCAAAAUUCUUAAUCUUAUUUCUUGAAUUAUUUUUAAGUGUAUGUAACUUUAAUAUCUAGAGUACCUGUGAGUAUAUUUUUGCUUUCUACCUUUUCUAUUAAUUCAUGUUUGCCUCCUUAAUUGGUUUUGAGUUUUUAUUAAGACUUUGCUUUUGUAGGGCAGUUUUAGGUUCAGAGAAAAAUUGAGAAGGAAUAGAUAUAUUCCCCAUAGACCACCUGCUCCUAAACAUGUAUUAUCAACAUCCACCAUUACCAACAUCCCCCCACUAGAGUGGGACAUUUGUUAUAACUGAUAAAUCUGCAGUGACACAUUAUUAUCACCUAAAGCCCAUAGUUUACAUUGUAGCUCACUCUUGGUGUUGUACAUACUAUGGUUUUGGAUAGAUGUCUGAUGACUUGUAUCAUUCAUUAUACCUCAUAUAUGGUUGCUUUUUAAAAAUAUGUGUCAGUUAUUGUAUCUGAAAAAUAGACUUAAGUUAGAGUCUAGGAUGAUUUUAUCAUCCUUUAUAGAGGAUUCAUAUUUGCUUCUAUUAGUUUUCUGGGCACUGGCAAUCCUGGAUCAUACUUACCCAUUUUCAGAAGUGGAGAUGACUGGAAAAUAAGUUGCUAUUCCUGGGAGGGUUUUUCUACUUCUGGUAAACGUUUAUCCUUGAAGGGUGGAAGGUGUAUUGUGCGAUUCUUUGAGGUCUUGAUCCAAAGGAUGGGGGAUGUUCAGCAGGGAACUCUUCUUGGUGACCCCUGAAUGUCAUCCCUAUGCUCUUGCCAAGAGAGACUGCCAACACUCCCUCUCAUAGCCCUCUCAGGAAUCAGCAAGUCCCUGCAAAGGAAUAAUGCCACCAAGUUCCUGACUCUUCUCUUUUCUAAAUCCUGACUCAGUCAUAGUUCCCUAUCUUGAGAGAGCUCAGAUUCCUUCAGAUGCUUUUAUCACUUGUUCUGUUUUUCUGGAAGUGCUCAGUAGGAGAGUUGGUAAGAAUUACCUAGUUCACUGUUUGCUGGAAGUCUUCAAGAAUUAUUUGUUUACAUAAGAGUCUAAAGAGUGCUAGAAUUAAAUUUUCUCAGAAAGCUUAUUUUUUAAUAUUUUAUGUAUACUUCCAAAAGCUAUAAAUUAACUGUACACAUAUAUUUUAACCUUGUUAAAUAUACAUUGAUUAAAUUAGUAUGUAAGAGAUAUUUGUGUUUUUACUGUAUAACUAAAAUAUAAAUCCUGUCUCUUUAUCAAGAGAUUCUUUUAAGUAAUUUUAUUCUCAAAUGAAAUAUACUAGUACAAAAAUUAUUAUUUAGUCUGUAUCCUCCCAUCGCAGUGUUAACACCAUGAAGUCCAGGGUCAUGGCUUUUUUGUUGACCCUUACACCCUGUACCCUAGUGAAAGCCCUGGUCCCCAUGGGAAACUCAAGUGAAUAUGUGUUGCAUAAAUGAAUGCUGUUGUUCCAACUAUUUGUUUCUAUAAUCAUGCCUACUGAAACAAUUUUGACAGGUUGCAUGCUCAAUAAAAAUGGUUGAUGAUCAUACUGAAAGAACUUUCUAGCAUAAAUUACAGGCAUAGAUGAGUGUAAAGCCAUUUUUCAUGAUUUACUGUGUACUAAGUGUAUGCAAAUAUAUCCUUUUUCAGCUUAAGUUUUACAAAGUAUGGUAAAAAUCACAGAUAAUCUCAAUGAUACUUGGAUUCUUGAUAGAAAAUGAUAAAAAUGUUGCUAGAAAAUUUAUGGAUGCUUAUCAUGAGGAACCUAUAGGAAUGGUGUAUAGUCUUUGUGGGACAAAUUUCAGACAUUAGAACUUAUUUUCUUCUUCAUGCAGAUAUCUAAGAAGGAAUAUUUGUUAUAAGGCCGCAGUAUAGAAGUUGUUUCAUCAAGACAAAUACUUAAACUUUUUUGUUAUCCUAAAAUAUUAGGAAACUCGUGUUAAUUAUCCCAUUGGUAAAAUAGUAUUGAAUUUCCCUAAAAACAUUAUUUAAAUCCAAACAACAUAAGCAGUGCCAGGCCUGAGAGACUUCUAAGACAAAGUAAUAUAAAAGAACAACAGAAAAAAAAAAAAUCAAGUAUCCUUACUUCAUUAUUAGAGCUUUGAAAGAAAUUCUAGCUGUCUAAAAUUGGUAUUUUUGUUAAACUAACUUUGAAGAGGCCAGACUCAAUCUAAGUGGAUUCAUUGUAAGCCUGUUCUCUUUACCCUAUUCAUUCACUACUGUCAUGAGGUGUGUGUAAUUCUGUCUAAAUAUCUUAGUUUUUUUAAGCUUGAGACAUAAUUAACAUGUAAUAAAUGGACGUAUUUAAAAUGUACAGUUUGGGGUGGUGGAGCAAGAUGGCAGAGGAGUAAGAGGUCACACUUACCUUCUCUCACAAACACAUCAAAAAAACACACGUACAUGUAAAAUGACUCACACAGGACAUCAACUGAAUGCUGGCAAAAGAACUUAAACCUCCAAAAAGGGCAAGAAACUCCUGACAUCACUGGGUAGAAC